UGUGUAGGCGGUUCUCUAAGUUCGGUGUGAAAUCUCCCGGCUUAACUGGGAGGGUGCGCCGAAAACUGGAGGGCUUGAGUAUGGGAGAGGAAAGCGGAAUUCCUGGUGUAGCGGUGAAAUGCGUAGAUAUCAGGAGGAACACCUGCGGUGUAGACAGCUUUCUGGACCAUCACUGACGCUGAGACACGAAAGCGUGGGUAGCAAACAGGAUUAGAUACCCUGGUAGUCCACGCCCUAAACGAUGCAUACUUGGUGUGAGCCGUUCAUUCGGUUCGUGCCGGAGCUAACGCGUUAAGUAUGCCGCCUGGGGAGUACGGUCGCAAGGCUGAA
rnacentral:rRNA from 1 species